rnacentral:rRNA from 1 species
GAUGAACGCUAGCGGCAGGCUUAAUACAUGCAAGUCGAGGGGCAGCAGGACUGUAGCAAUACAGUUGCUGGCGACCGGCAAACGGGUGCGGAACACGUACGCAACCUACCCAAAACUGGGGGAUAGCCCGGGGAAACCCGGAUUAAUACCUCGUAACCUUUUUAAGUGGCAUCACUUGAUAAGUAUAGCUCCGGCGGUUUUGGAUGGGCGUGCGCCUGAUUAGGUAGUUGGUGCGGGUAACGGCCCACCAAGCCUGCGAUCAGUAACUGGUGUGAGAGCACGACCAGUCACACGGGGACGGAGACACGGGCCCGACUCCUACGGGAGGCAGCAGUAAGGAAUAUUGGUCAAUGGACGCAAGUCUGAACCAGCCAUGCCGCGUGAAGGAUGAAGGUCCUCUGGAUUGUAAACUUCUUUUAUGGGGGACGAAACCCGGAUAUUCUUAUCCGAUUGACGGUACCUCAGGAAUAAGCACCGGCUAACUCCGUG